UUAAAUGGCCGCAGUAUUUUAACUGUGCAAAGGUAGCAUAAUCAUUAGUCUUUUAAUUGAAGGCUCGUAUGAAUGGUUGGACGAAAUAUUAACUGUUUCAUAAAAAUUUAUUUAGAAUUUUAUUUUUUAGUUAAAAAGCUAAAAUUUAUUUAAAAGACGAGAAGACCCUAUAGAUCUUUAUAAUUUAUUUGUUAUAGUUAUAUAGAUUAUUUAAAUUAUGAUUAUAUAAAUUAUUUUGUUGGGGUGACAUUAAAAUUUAAUAAACUUUUAAUAAGUUUUUACAUUAAUUUAUGAGUGAUUGAUCCAUUAUUAGUGAUUAUAAAAUUAAGUUACCUUAGGG
rnacentral:rRNA from 1 species